GGGCGCGUAGCUCAGUGGGAGAGCGCUUGACUCACAUUCAAGAGGUCGCAGGUUCAAUCCCUGCCGCGCCCACCA
rnacentral:tRNA from 5 species